rnacentral:rRNA from 1 species
AUUGAACGCUGGCGGCAUGCCUUACACAUGCAAGUCGAACGGUAACGCGGGGCAACCUGGCGACGAGUGGCGAACGGGUGAGUGAUGCAUCGGAACGUGCCCAGUAGUGGGGGAUAGCCCGGCGAAAGCCGGAUUAAUACCGCAUACGACCUACGGGUGAAAGCGGGGGAUCGCAAGACCUCGCGCUAUUGGAGCGGCCGAUGUCAGAUUAGGUAGUUGGUGGGGUAAAGGCCUACCAAGCCUACGAUCUGUAGCUGGUCUGAGAGGACGACCAGCCACACUGGGACUGAGACACGGCCCAGACUCCUACGGGAGGCAGCAGUGGGGAAUUUUGGACAAUGGGCGCAAGCCUGAUCCAGCCAUGCCGCGUGCGGGAAGAAGGCCUUCGGGUUGUAAACCGCUUUUGUCAGGGAAGAAACGCUCUGGGCUAAUACCCCGGGGUAAUGACGGUACCUGAAGAAUAAGCACCGGCUAACCACGUGCCAGCAGCCGCCGUAAGAC